rnacentral:rRNA from 1 species
UGCGUAGGUGGCAGUGCAAGUCAGAUGUGAAAGGCCGGGGCUCAACCCCGGAGCUGCAUUUGAAACUGCUCGGCUAGAGUACAGGAGAGGCAGGCGGAAUUCCUAGUGUAGCGGUGAAAUGCGUAGAGAUCUGGAGGAAUACCGAUGGCGAAGGCAGCCAUCUGGCCUAAUACUGACACUGAGUGCGAAAAGCAUGGGGAGCAAACA